rnacentral:rRNA from 1 species
AGCGAACGCUGGCGGCAGGCCUAACACAUGCAAGUCGAACGAACCUUUCGGGGUUAGUGGCGGACGGGUGAGUAACACGUGGGAACGUGCCUUUAGGUUCGGAAUAACUCAGGGAAACUUGUGCUAAUACCGAAUGUGCCCUUCGGGGGAAAGAUUAAUCGCCUUUAGAGCGGCCCGCGGCUGAUUAGCUAGUUGGUUGAGGUAAUGGCUCACCAAGGCGACGAUCAGUAGCUGGUCUGAGAGGAUGAUCAGCCACAUUGGGACUGAGACACGGCCCAAACUCCUACGGGAGGCAGCAGUGGGGAAUCUUGCGCAAUGGGCGAAAGCCUGACGCAGCCAUGCCGCGUGAAUGAUGAAGGUCUUAGGAUUGUAAAAUUCUUUCACCGGGGACGAUAAUGACGGUACCCGGAGAAGAAGCCCCGGCUAACUUCGUG